UACAGAGGGUGCGAGCGUUAAUCGGAAUUACUGGGCGUAAAGCGUGCGUAGACGGUUAUUUAAGUCGGGUGUGAAAUCCUGGAGCUCAACUCCAGAACUGCCUUUGAUACUGAGGAUCUUGAGUCCGGGAGAGGUGAGUGGAACUGCGAGUGUAGAGGUGAAAUUCGUAGAUAUUCGCAAGAACACCAGUGGCGAAGGCGGCUCUCUGGGACGGUACUGACGCUGAGACGCGAAAGCGUGGGGAGCGAACAGG
rnacentral:rRNA from 1 species